rnacentral:rRNA from 1 species
AAGAGGAGUGGCGAACGGGUGAGUAACACGUGGGUAACCUGCCCAUCAGAAGGGGAUAACACUUGGAAACAGGUGCUAAUACCGUAUAACAAUCGAAACCGCAUGGUUUUGAUUUGAAAGGCGCUUUCGGGUGUCGCUGAUGGAUGGACCCGCGGUGCAUUAGCUAGUUGGUGAGGUAACGGCUCACCAAGGCCACGAUGCAUAGCCGACCUGAGAGGGUGAUCGGCCACAUUGGGACUGAGACACGGCCCAAACUCCUACGGGAGGCAGCAGUAGGGAAUCUUCGGCAAUGGACGAAAGUCUGACCGAGCAACGCCGCGUGAGUGAAGAAGGUUUUCGGAUCGUAAAACUCUGUUGUUAGAGAAGAACA